rnacentral:SRP_RNA from 1 species
UAAAAAAGUCAUCACAACAUUAGUGGCGAACCGAGUCAGGCCAGAAAUGGAGCAGCUAUAAGCAUAAUCUAAUGUGUGUGGUGACUUUUUUGUAUAA